UAUUCUUUGUUCUGUAAACAUGUUGCAUUCACAUAAUUCAAUGGAGGAACUCAAGUGACCUUAUUUCCCACAUUCAAAUUAAAUCUCAUUAGUUUAUUCGUCAACUGUUUUGGUAUAAAUAGCCGAUAGAAUCUUCGAAAUGGCAUCAGUCAGCAUUUGACAGCUUCAAUACAAUUUCAAUUGUAAAAUCAAAUCAAUCAACAUGAAAUUCACUUUGGCUUUCGUCGCUCUCAUCGGUUUGGUCGCUCUUUCAGCCGCCUUCCCUAAACCCAAUGCGGAGCCAGAGCCAGCACCAGUAGCUGUUGCUGAUCCAGCACCAGGAAGAUCGUCCGGCAGCAGUUCAUGCGGCUCAGGUGGUUCAGGCAGCUCAUGUUGUGAAUCGGGUAGCUCACGUGGAUC